UUGCGGUUAAAAAGCUCGUAGUUGGAUUUCUGUCGAGGGCGGGCGGUCCGCACUAUGUGCGUGUAUCUUGUUCGGUCUUGGCAUCCUCUUGGGGAAUGCUUCUGUGCUUGAUUGCAUGGGGUGGAAUUCAAGACUUUUACUUUGAGGAAAUUAGAGUGUUCACGGCAAGCUACCGCUUUGAAUACAUUAGCAUGGAAUAAUAAUAUAGGGCGUAAGUUCUAUUUUGUUGGUUUCUAGGACAUACGCAAUGAUUAAUAGGGACAAUUGGGGGCAUUCGUAUUAACGCGUCAGAGGUGGAAUUCUUAGAUUGCGUUACGACGAACUACUGCCGAAAGCAUUUGCCAAAGAUGUUUUCAUU
rnacentral:rRNA from 1 species